AGCCCUUGGACAGGCAGAUGGUGCCAGAUUUUUGAAAACAAUAUUGUGAGUAGUUAUCCAGCGUUCUGUCCUGCUUGAUCUCGUUCUUUGACCUUGCCUUGUAUAAUGGAUUACUCCCCCUGUCUGACGGAUUGGAUCCUGGUUUUCGACUCUGUUUUCUGCCUCUGGUUUCAUGCUUCUGCCUGCCCCUUGUCUGACGCCUCUAGCCCUGGAACUGGACCCUGUGUCUGUUUACGGAUUUAUGCCCCUGCCAAGCCCCUGGUUUAUUCAGCCUGCAUCCGCCUGCCUCUCAAGCCUGCCAGGAGCAGCAGUCAAGAGGACUCCCUGCUCUCUGUGUUCCAACCAGAGCUUAUGAGGAAUUGGAUCAGUCGACAAUCGGACUUCAGUCUAUUGAACGCCUCCACAAGGAGUGUCCGGAUUACUUCCUCUUCUGGGUUCUGGGCUUCAUUCCCAGUCUGAGAAGAGACCCAUGGAGGUCGACUUCUGCUUUCCUGUGUGCUGAUCCUGUAUUGCUGAAUAAACCUUUUAACUUUUUA